CUCAAGUCCAGUUCUGAAUCAUCGGCAAAUUUCUAAAUCACAUACUGUUCAAGUAUCACUUCUCUCCAGUCCUAAACUGUAACAAGUGAAAUAUUUUUGGUGUGAUUCUUGUUAAUUAUUGUCGACUUGAUGUCCAUUUUUCCCUGUGAGUUAACACAUUGUUUCAAUCAAAAGCGUUGGUGACAUUCCAGAUGUGUGGCGUAUGUGUUUUUUGAUUGUGGUCUGUAAAGAUCUUUAAGAGAAACGUUUUAAGUGCUGUGAACUUGAUCAAUAUAAGUUAUUGUUUGAUGUUGUAUGUGUGAUUCUGUUCCACUUCUAUUGUUGCUGUUUUUAGAUGUUGCAUUAUGCUAACAUGCUAACGUUGACCAAAGAUUUCUCAGUCCCAAGGUGUGCACGAAUUGAUCCCUCAUACAGAUAGUUAUCCUAACUGGGACAGCUUCAAUCUUGUGCCGAGAUUGAGGGUGUCCUAAUACGUACACUGUACAUGAGGUUUGCAGUAUUAAAACCACCUUCUCUUGACUCUCGUAUCAGAAAACACACCACAGAAAUAAACAGUAUUCAGACUUGGGCUCUGCUAAAAAGCUAUAAUAACUCUUGGAAGGAAAAAGAUUACCGGAAUAACUUUUAUAUACUAUUUUCAUGGUCUUUUUUCUAAGCAAAUCUGCUCAAAUUUGAGGACUUGUGCACUAGAGUGGUUGAGGGUAUCAUUCUACAAGCAGACAGGCAUUCAUCGUCUCCAAGUGUUGGAUCAAAUUAUAUUGUACUGUGAACUGAGUCAAACACUGAGAAAAUGUAAAACAGAGAGGUACAGUAAGUAUCCAGGGCCCAAUGUCCAUGCACACCCUUCAAACAUAUGGUACCUAAAUAAUUAUUGAAUUGUAUAUUUUGUGAAUAACCAUUUGUAAUCUAAUAAAAAACCCAAAACGUAUACUGUAUAAAAUAUGCUAAUUUUACUGGACACGUCCUGUAUCCUAAUAUAUGAUUUAGGUGAGGGAAGAGUACAGUCCUUGGAUUACUUCACAAACGUUGUUUUGGCCUAGGUAUAUAUAUUUUACCUUAUGUAUUUAACUACAUUGAGCUAGAUAAAUGAUCGAUUUAUUUGUGAAGUUGUAUGGAUUCGUAAAAGGAAACCAACAUGUUAAUGUUUUUCAUUUAAUGUUACAAUAUUCAUUCCUACUUAAUAAAAAGCCAUAUCUGUUUGCACGC
ensembl:lncRNA